CUCAAUCUGACUCGAUAUGUCCGUCUACUCACAGCGUGUCGAGGAGACCCUGGAGUUUUUUUUUUUACCCAAGAAUACAGUAUUGUUUGUCAGAUGUAGUCACCAUAUUUAUGCAGGGACACAAGGCAAGAGAAAUGGACGCCCCACCGCUCUGUGUGCGCAGAAACUCGGACGGGGAGACUUGAGACCGACUCCUACAAGACACUUGCCCAUCGGAAUGAUCCACGGAUAAAAGGAGCUUCAGUCUGCCACACAGUGAGAGGCACCCUCCCUUCAUGCUGCCCCACCCUGCAGCUCUGCACACCUCACCUCCCAAGACUGGUCCAUCAUGGCUUGUCUCUGAUGCAGGGGAGACAUCAAUAAUAAGAGCUGAAGCAGAAACCACAGUCGAAGACACAAAAGAGAGAGGGAGGGCAGACGCAGGCCACAACCGGCUCUGCUGCAGGCUGGAGUGGGCAGGCGUGUGGCUUUGGCCGCAGGAAGCUGUGAAUUCUUUGGAGAAUGGAAGAUGUCUUAGUGGGGAGACAUACUGCCCCCACCUCAUCCACCCACCUCAAAAUGACCCCUGACCCCUUCAUGUGUUUAUAUCAGACUGUGGAAGUGAGAAAUAGUGAUGAGUCACUCUGGCUCUGCGUUUACACUCUGGAGUCACGCAAGGAAGGAAAUCAGCCACGGUCUGCUAAAAGUGGCGAGGUGAGAGAGAAUAGCUGCAGUCCCCCAGCGCUGCAGUGAUUUACCUCUUACAGUCUAAAUUUAAUUCACAUCAUCUAUGCUGCAAGAAUUUUCUACCAACAGAAAACAGCAACAUUUGCGCUGCAGUUGGCAGUCAUUUAAGGAAAAGGCAAAUAUUUUGCAGUCACUUAGAAUGGUCCAGAAGAUGUUUGUGUAUGUUUUUGCAUUCAAUACUCUGACAUCUAUUAUAUGAUCACAUAAACACAUAUGAUAAGCAUGAUGAGUUCUCAGUUGACAGAAUAUGCAUAAAUUAAAGAGCAAAAUAUUCCUGACAUCCAUGAGUUUCACGUCUUCUGAGACAGUGUGCUGAUACCAAUGCUUACCAGUGUUUAAAAAAAAAAAAAAAAAAAACUUGGACAAUGUUUUUCACUUCAUCAUGAAU